CCUACGGGUGGCAGCAGUGAGGAAUAUUGGUCAAUGGGCGCGAGCCUGAACCAGCCAAGUAGCGUGAAGGAUGACUGCCCUACGGGUUGUAAACUUCUUUUAUAAAGGAAUAAAGUGAGGCUCGUGUGCCUUUUUGUAUGUACUUUAUGAAUAAGGAUCGGCUAACUCCGUGCCAGCAGCCGCGGUAAUACGGAGGAUCCGAGCGUUAUCCGGAUUUAUUGGGUUUAAAGGGAGCGUAGAUGGGUUGUUAAGUCAGUUGUGAAAGUUUGCGGCUCAACCGUAAAAUUGCAAUUGAUACUGGCAGUCUUGAGUACAGUAGGGGUAGGCGGAAUUCGUGGUGUAGCGGUGAAAUGCGUAGAUAUCACGAAGAACACCGAUGGCGAAGGCAGCUUGCUAAACUGCCACUGACGUUGAGGCUCGAAAGUGUGGGUAGCGAACAGGAUUAGAUACCCGUGUAGUC
rnacentral:rRNA from 1 species